AACUCGAUCUCAAAUCAAGUAAGACUACCCGCUGAACUUAAGCAUAUCAAUAAGCGGAGGAAAAGAAACUAACAAGGAUUCCCCUAGUAACGGCGAGUGAAGCGGGAUGAGCUCAAAUUUAAAAUCUGGCUGGUUUACUAGUCCGAAUUGUAGUUUAUACAACCGUUUUCGGUGGCAGCCUGGGUAUAAAUCCUUUGGAAUAGGGUAUCAUAGAGGGUGAGAAUCCCGUCUUUGACUCAGUGCAUGCUACUAUGUGAUACGUUUUCAAAGAGUCGAGUUGUUUGGGAAUGCAGCUCAAAAUGGGUGGUAAAUUUCAUCUAAAGCUAAAUAUUGGCGAGAGACCGAUAGCGAACAAGUACCGUGAGGGAAAGAUGAAAAGAACUUUGAAAAGAGAGUUAAACAGUGCGUGAAAUUGUUGAAAGGGAAACGUUUGACACCAGUUAUGCGGGUGGAAAAUCAGUCUUUUGCAAUGGGGAGUUGUGGGCGUUCAGACCGCAAGGCUGGCGUUUGCUUCAUCUUUGUUGUAAGUGAUGCACUUUUUCAUUUGCAGGUCAACAUCAGUUUGCUUUGCUGGACAAAACCCCAAGGGAAGGUGGCAGCUUAGGCUGUGUUAUAGCCCUGGGGCGAUACAGUGGAGUGGACUGAGGUUUCGCAGUGUGUGCUCUCGGGCAAGGCUGACUGGGUGCUAUGGGAUCGUUCGGCGUACAAUGCAUGCAUUUUGCGUCGUGUCUUUUUCAUACUCGCUCAA
rnacentral:rRNA from 1 species